rnacentral:rRNA from 1 species
GACGAACGCUGGCGGCGUGCUUAACACAUGCAAGUCGUACGGUAAGGCCCUUUCGGGCUUUCCCGAGUGGCGGACGGGUGAGUAACACGGGAGUAACCAGCCCACAACUGUGUGAGGACGCUACGAAACUAGUGCUAAUACUGGAUAUAUGCUCCUUGCGCAUGGUGGGUGUUGGGAAGCUCCGGGGGUUGGGCAUGGACUAGCGGCCUAUCCGCCUGUUUGUGGGUGAGUGGCCUACCAAGCCAGCGAUGGGUAGCCGGCCUGAGGGGGUGACCGGCCGCCUUGGGACUGAGGUAAGGCCCAGACUCCUACGGGUGGACACAGGGGGGAAUAUUGCACCAUGGGGGCAAGCCUGAUGCAGAAACGCCGCGGGCGGGAUGGCCGGCUUUGGGUUGUAAAACGCUUUCAGGAGGGAAGAAGGUUUUUGUGACGGUACCUGCAGAAGAAGCACCGGCUAACUACGUG